CCUACAUGAAGCCGGAAUCGCUAGUAAUCGCGGAUCAGCAUGCCGCGGUGAAUACGUUCCCGGGCCUUGUACACACCGCCCGUCACACCACGAGAGUUGACAACACCCGAAGUCGGUGAGGUAACCUUUUAGGAGCCAGCCGCCGAAGGUGGGGUCAAUGAUUGGGGUGAAGUCGUAACAAGGUAGCCGUAUCGGAAGGUGCGGCUGGAUCACCUCCUUU
rnacentral:rRNA from 1 species